rnacentral:rRNA from 1 species
UAAACUUUUUUUUUGUAUUGAUUGGUAUUGCAUACCAUUUUUGGAUGUUAAUAUUUUGGUAUAUAGAAUGGAAAGGUAAGGUAGAGAGCCUGUGUUUUUUAUUGUUACAUAAUAAUAAUUAUGGGUUUUGGUGUUGAAAUGUCGUCUUAUCUGUUAUCUGUGUGUUGGUUAUUUAUUAGAAAAUUAUUAGAUUUGUAAGUUGUGGAUGGAAAAUUAGAUUUUGUAGUGUUCUUGUUUUGUGUUUUAUAACAUUUUCUUUUUUGUAUUUUGUUGAUUUUGUUUUUAUUAAUUUAUUAAUAAUUUGAAAAUUUAGGAUUUAGUAGUUUUGUAAAUUUGGUAUUUUAUUUUAAUUUUUUUUUGUUAACUUGGGUUUUGAUCAAAUGUUUUUUAAAGACUUAGGUCUCUUUAUGUGACUGGCCUCUGCCCUAUGUUUUUAUAAAUGGCAGUCUUAGCGUGAGGACAUUAAGGUAGCAAAAUAAUUUGUACUUUUAAUGGGUUCUAGUAUGAAUGGGGUUAUUGGUUAAUUUUUUACUUGAUUUUUUUUGAAAUAGUUUUUUGUUUAAGAAAUAAUAUUUGUGGUUAAACAAAGAUAAGUCUUCGGAAGUUUUUUUCUUGGUUUUUUUGUGAUUGUGCUGGGAUGUUUUCUAGGGUAGAAUUUUUGGUAAUUUUGUUUACUAUUGAUAAGUUAUAAAACUACUUCGGAGUUAACAGAAAUUCAUGUCUUUACCAGUUCUUAUGGUGCGGAUAAGUUUUACAUCGAUGUUGUAUUUUGGUUGUUCGGGAGAGGAGAUGGCUCGGGUUUUGAGACUGUUCUUCUUUUAAUAAACUGAACGUGAUAUUAGUUUAAUUCAUCGUGAGAUAGAAUUGUUUAUCUUGUUAAUCACUUUAGUGUGAUGCGAAUAGUACGAAAGGAAAUUUGUUAAGGUUUUUAACUUUGUUAGAGGGAGUGCCUCUU